rnacentral:rRNA from 1 species
GACGAACGCUGGCGGCGUGCCUAAUACAUGCAAGUCGAGCGCAGGAAGCCGUCUGAACCCUUCGGGGGGACGACGGUGGAAUGAGCGGCGGACGGGUGAGUAACACGUAAAGAACCUGCCCAUAGGUCUGGGAUAACCACGAGAAAUCGGGGCUAAUACCGGAUGUGUCAGCGGACCGCAUGGUCCGCUGAUGAAAGGCGCUCCGGCGUCGCCCAUGGAUGGCUUUGCGGUGCAGUAGCUAGUUGGUGGGGUAACGGCCCACCAAGGCGACGAUGCAUAGCCGACCUGGGAGGGUGAUCGGCCACACUGGGACUGAGACACGGCCCAGACUCCUACGGGAGGCAGCAGUAGGGAAUCUUCCACAAUGGACGAAAGUCUGAUGGAGCAACGCCGCGUGAACGAUGAAGGCUUUCGGGUCGUAAAGUUCUGUUGUAAGGGAAGAACAAGUGCCGCAGGCAAUGGCGGCACCUUGACGGUACCUUGCGAGAAAGCCACGGCUAACUACGUGCCAGCCGCCGCGGUAACAC